rnacentral:misc_RNA from 1 species
GCUCACUUGGCUUAGUGGAAUCCACCGUACCAAAUGCAUCUGAACCAAGGGUAGACAACACAGAGGUAGGAGACUGAUUCUCUGGCUCAGAGAGACAGAGAUCAGGUGAACCAGAUCUGUUCAAUUUCUCUGAAGCCAGGGUUCCACUUUUAAGUGGAGUUGCCAUUUUUCUUGGAUAAGGGUGCAUCGGCUUUCUUUUAGGCCGAGGAGGAGGGAUCUCAAUGGAUUUCACAGAGCUUGCAUCACCAUUACUCGAUUCACGAACAACCUUUGAAAAGAACUUCUGAGCAUG